CCGAUUCUGUGUCUCCCUCUCUCUCUGCCCCCUCCCCCGUUCAUGCUCUGUCUCUCUCUGUCCCAAAAAUAAAUAAAAAAACGUUGAAAAAAAAUUUAAAAAAAUUAAAAAAAAAAAGAGAUGGGGGCUGAAGAAAUUAGGAACGAGUCAUUGGAGCAGUAGGAAAAGAUUUAGUUGAACAUGUUCUAAGUCUAAAGGAAGCCAAAGUGGUCAACACGUUCUAAAUGCUAGAGUUUAAGGAAGGCAAAAACAUGUACCCACUAGAUUCUCCAAACAGGAGAGUAUCAGUGAUUUUAGCAAGUUUCACUACUGGAGCAACGGGGAGUGGGAAAGAGCCAGAUGAGGACAGAGUAAGGACUGAGUAUGGGGCUGGGUUGCUUUCUACCUGUGUUGUCCCUUGGGGCACAAAGGCUAGGAGAGAAGACAUACUGAGGAAGGAGAUCAAAAGGCAGGGGAACUGGGGAAGCAGUAAGCAGUCCAGCUAAAAAAGUGGAUUAGAUAUGAUGUGAGAGACGAUAGGGAGCUCUGAGGAGAUGCCCAGAGGGAUGAUUCUAGAACUUCCCAGAGGCUUAGGAACUGGGUAUCACCAAUCUGGGGAUUCUAAGACAGUCAGUUUGAUCCAUGGAUCCGUGCUUUCCUUAUUCUAAAUGAACUCCCUUUCUUCCCAGGAGCACACCAUUUAAUGGCUUCUUAAGACAGGGAGGAUGGGAGCUAAAGUUGUUGAGCCCUCACAUACCUGAAGGUUUUUAUUCAACCCUCAGAUUUAUUAAUGUUUUGACUUGUAUGGAAUUUCAGGUUGAAAAUAACUUCUCCCCACUGUUUUGAAGGUAUUCUCCAUUGUCUUCUUUCAGAGUGGUUGUUGAGAAGUCAUGUGGCCUCCUUGGUGAUCUGUUUUAUUUUCUCUGAAACAUUGUAGGAUCUUCUCGUAUCUCUAAAGUUGUGAAAUUUCAAGCAAAUAGACCCCACCAGUGGAAAUCUACGAAGUGGCCCUCUCAGAUGUCAACUGUGCUGCUUUAAGUCAAGGGCUGGCAGUGUGGGUGGUGAAAGAAUUUACCCAAGGCAGAAAGGUGAUAGAAGUUUACUGAAUACACCACAAGGGAGCUGCAAGCAGGACAGCAAAAGAGAGGCUGUGUGCAACAAGACGGUGGGGGCUGUUUUAAAAGAGGGAAGGUGAGGAGGUAUGGUGAGGUAUGGAAUGACCCCUUUUUUGGUAACUGAGCCUGGUUGUAUGUAGCCCUUUGGUUAAUUGCAGCCUACGGAUAUUUUGAGGUGGGUCACUUGAUGGGCUUGUCUGUAUUCAGCCAUGGGGCCACUGUCUGCCUUUUCUAUAUAUUCCAUUGCUCGAGCCUGUUUGCCUUAAAAGCAGCCUCUACAUCUUUCUUUUAUUUAUUAUUAAGUAGGCUCCACGCCUAACAUGGAGCUCGAACUCAUGACCCUGAGAUCAAGAGUCACAUGCUCCACUGACUGAGCCAGCCAGGCAACCCCUAGACUUCUCAUUUUAGAAAGAGGGUUCACUUCUGAUUCCUUUAAAGAGUAGUAAAUGAUCCUAAAGCAUGCAGAACAUUGAGACUUACCUUUUUUUGGGAAUACAGCAAUUGUGUGAACAAUAGAACUCCUUUUUUGGUGACUUUAUUUGCAUAGCCUCUUGUGCCAACCAAAAGUGAUCCUUGCCACGGAACAGAGGAGCUACCCCUACUUCACAGGGCGGCAGGUAGAAGCACAGAACUAUAGCAAUGGAACAAGGAAAGAAAGUUCUCUUGGGCCAAUGUUUACGGAAAGGGCUGUGCUGAGCAGCGCCAUCUCCGUGAUUCUCAAUCAUGGUGUGCCAGGGCACCCUUAUGUCAGCGUGAUGAGGCCCCAUGGGGGGAGGGGGAUAUCUGUAGUUGGCAGAAGUCUCCUAGAUGCUGCUGUUAUAUCUCCCCCCACCAACAAAACGUGUGUACACACCUCUCACACACAGACACACAAACCCCAUGCACAUCACUGAUAGAUCUAAGUGUUGGCAGUUGGAGCCCACGAAGUCCAGCCCAGGUGAGUUUAAUUAUGAGUCGUGACUGCUUUGAUGCAGAUUGUCUCCGUCAGAUCCACAGAUUCCCUAUGUCUAGAAGGCUGAGAUGUUUCCAGGGGCUUUUGCUGUUUCUGUUUGUUGUGCUGUCAUCUUUAUACCGUUGUUUUUUUUUUUUUUUUUUCUGGCACAACCUUUAAUUAUGAAGGUCAGGAGCCUGAUGGGCUGGUGCAUAUGUUGCAGCGCAGAAAACCUGAUUUAUUCAUUGCUUGCUUUCACCUUUUCGAUAUCUUCGAUUAUCCUUAGAAAUGUCUUGAAAUUAAAAAAAAAGUUAAUGAAGAAAAGAUGUAUGCAUGCAUGUAUACCAAGGGACAGAAACUGCCUCCAGAGGAAAUUGUACAAAUUCGUUAAUUUAUUACAAAAUUUCCACUCACAGAAAAACACAGGAAAACUUUUAUACUUUUAUAUUUGGGAAAGGAACUGGCGUCUCAGAUACAAAAUAAUUUACACAUAAUCCAUACAAUUUUAUUUUAUAUAGAAAUAGGUCAUUAUUACAACAGCUGUACAGUUCACUACACUUCGUCUUUUAAUUACAUAAAACCUUUUUCUUUAGAAACAUCUCAACAUAACAAAACAUACAAAAAAAGCAAAGUGCAUUUUGAAAAGGAGAAUCCAAUCCUCGGUCUUAUCAUGAAAGAUCUGUAGAAAGAUGCAGCAUUCUGACUCAAGGGGCCGGUGCGUGGUGGGGUCUCCUCAGGGACCUGGGGCUCCACAGGCCUGUCUGGCUUGUGGAACCUCUUCCUCCAAAGUCUCAUAGUUCCCGACAGAAUUCCGGAACAUCAGCUGCAUGAUUGUGCUUUGCUUUGAGUCGGCCUUUGUAGUUGCAAUCAACCAAGUAAACAGGAACAGUCCAGUGUUAUAUUUAGGGGAAACAAUAAUCACCAGAACGGGCAUGGGGUGAAGAACCUCCUUCCAUUAGGUUUUAGGCCAGAGGGUGUGGGUCUGCAGCCUGGUGAAGAAUGACCAGUUCUGCCAUCUGAUUGGUGGGCUGGUUUUGUUACUGCGGU